rnacentral:rRNA from 1 species
CCUACGGGGUGCAGCAGUGGGGAAUAUUGGACAAUGGGCGAAAGCCUGAUCCAGCCAUGCCGCGUGUGUGAAGAAGGCCUUCGGGUUGUAAAGCACUUUCAGUGGGGAAGAAAGCCUUGGGGCUAAUACCCUCGAGGAAGGACAUCACCCACAGAAGAAGCACCGGCUAACUCCGUGCCAGCAGCCGCGGUAAUACGGAGGGUGCGAGCGUUAAUCGGAAUUACUGGGCGUAAAGCGCGCGUAGGCGGUCUGAUAAGCCGGUUGUGAAAGCCCCGGGCUCAACCUGGGAACGGCAUCCGGAACUGUCAGGCUAGAGUGCAGGAGAGGAAGGGAGAAUUCCCGGUGUAGCGGUGAAAUGCGUAGAGAUCGGGAGGAAUACCAGUGGCGAAGGCGGCCUUCUGGACUGACACUGACGCUGAGGUGCGAAAGCGUGGGUAGCAAACAGGAUUAGAUACCCGGGUAGUC